GAGUAGUAUAGUUGUCUAUCGAUGCCUCGCGUAGCGAAGUGCGCACUUCGCCCUUAGGUGUGUGCGAGCAAAAGGGGAACGGGAGCCAAGCGUCUGCAGCGCACAAGUUGCCUCUGCUGCAAACAUUCCGGCAUUGCAAACUGCAUUCUGGAUCAGAAAGUGCGGCGUGGUUACGGCUGUUUUCUGAUAAGCGGACCAUGAAAGUAAUACUGUUUGUGCUGCUGCUGAUUUCGGCAACUGAACUCACAAAAGGGUCAGGGACAGAGAGCAGCGGUACGCAAUGCACUGAUAACGGUCAAUGCAAUUCCGGCAACGAAACUAAGCGAGUAGCUUGGUUCGCGAAUUAUAGCGACACAUCCUGCUAUAAUAUUUCUGUCGCCGGCUGUCCUGGAGCUGGUAUGAGGAGUCUUUAUGACUGUUUGACGUUUUGCUUUUAUAGCUAAUAAGGCGGAAUUGCUGAAACUUUCCUCGUCAAGCAAUGGAGAAUGACUCCUCCAUGCCGUAUUCUACGUAUUCUUCAAACCGCUAGGUUCCAGACUGUAUAAAACUUCACAUCCAA
rnacentral:lncRNA from 1 species